AAUGAACUCUUAUAUAGCCGCAGUACACUGACUGUGCUAAGGUAGCACAAUAAUUUUCCUCUUAAUUAGGGGCCGGAAUGAAAGGGCAGUCGAUACCAGGCCUGUCCCAAGAUCUUUUUGAAAUUUAAUAUUUGCUUAAAAAAGAGCAGCUAUCUGGGGGGACGAUAAGACCCCGUGAAACUUAAUUUAAUACCCCACUUUUAAGGGUUUGAUUAAUUUUAUAGGUGAAAAUUUGAAUUAAGCUGGGGCGGCAGUUAGUUUACGCUAGUAAAUUUAACAUUUUAAAUGGCAGGAGAGAGCUUUUUUAGUAAAAGUUAGAAUAAGUUACUCCGGGGAUAACAGCACAAUUUCUCCGGACAGAUCUUACGGAAGGAGAAGACUUGUGACCUCGAUGUUGAAUUGGAAGGCCGGGGGGGAGUAGAAAUCUCCAAGGGGAGUCUGUUCGACUUUUAAUCUUUC
rnacentral:rRNA from 1 species